ACUAUUUUGACAGAGUAAAUGUGAUGAUUUUAGAAUUCAUUUAUAUAUAAUAUUUUUAAUUAUAUAAUUAGUA
rnacentral:tRNA from 1 species